UACGUAGGUGGCAAGCGUUAUCCGGAUUUAUUGGGCGUAAAGGGAACGCAGGCGGUCUUUUAAGUCUGAUGUGAAAGCCUUCGGCUUAGCCGGAGUAGUGCAUUGGAAACUGGGAGACUUGAGUGCAGAAGAGGAGAGUGGAACUCCAUGUGUAGCGGUGAAAUGCGUAGAUAUAUGGAAGAACACCAGUGGCGAAAGCGGCUCUCUGGUCUGUAACUGACGCUGAGGUUCGAAAGCGUGGGUAGCAAACAGG
rnacentral:rRNA from 1 species